rnacentral:rRNA from 1 species
AUUGAACGCUGGCGGCAUGCCUUACACAUGCAAGUCGAACGGUAACAGGUCUUCGGAUGCUGACGAGUGGCGAACGGGUGAGUAAUACAUCGGAACGUGCCCGAGAGUGGGGGAUAACGAGGCGAAAGCUUUGCUAAUACCGCAUACGAUCUCAGGAUGAAAGCAGGGGACCGCAAGGCCUUGCGCUCACGGAGCGGCCGAUGGCAGAUUAGGUAGUUGGGGGGAUAAAAGCUUACCAAGCCGACGAUCUGUAGCUGGUCUGAGAGGACGACCAGCCACACUGGGACUGAGACACGGCCCAGACUCCUACGGGAGGCGGCAGUGGGGAAUUUUGGACAAUGGGCGCAAGCCUGAUCCAGCCAUGCCGCGUGCAGGAUGAAGGCCUUCGGGUUGUAAACUGCUUUUGUACGGAACGAGAAGACUCUGGUUAAUACCUGGGGUCCAUGACGGUACCGUAAGAAUAAGCACCGGCUAACUACGUGCCAGCAGCCGCUGUAAAAC